ACAUCACUAGAUGGAACACUGAUGAAUUAAAGGAGUUGUGACAUCUUAAAGGAGCAGUGACAUCAUAAAGGAGUGACAUUCAGGAGAGAGUCCCAGAAUCACACAACUGCAGUUGAAUCUGAAGACUCGAUCAGACGAAACACAUCGACUGAGAGAAGCAGUUGUCUCAAGAGGAAGAGACUUUCUACUGAGAGAAGCAGUGAAUUUCUCUCCAAAAACCACGAAGCAUCGACAAGAAUUGACCGUAAAUCAGCAUCAUGGUAUCAUCAAGAACUUCCCAGCCAGAAGCCAUCAUGCCCGAGUUCAACGUCCGUCGCGUUGUUUCCAAGCUGCUCAACUCC